GAUGAACGCUGGCGGCGUGCCUAAUACAUGCAAGUCGAGCGAACGGACGAGAAGCUUGCUUCUCUGAUGCUAGCGGCGGACGGGUGAGUAACACGUGGAUAACCUACCUAUAAGACUGGGAUAACUUCGGGAAACCGUAGCUAAUACCGGAUAAUAUUUUGAACCGCAUGGUUCAAAAGUGAAAGACGGUCUUGCUGUCACUUAUAGAUGGAUCCGCGCUGCAUUAGCUAGUUGGUAAGGUAACGGCUUACCAAGGCAACGAUGCAUAGCCGACCUGAGAGGGUGAUCGGCCACACUGGAACUGAGACACGGUCCAGACUCCUACGGGAGGCAGCAGUAGGGAAUCUUCCGCAAUGGGCGAAAGCCUGACGGAGCAACGCCGCGUGAGUGAUGAAGGUCUUCGGAUCGUAAAACUCUGUUAUUAGGGAAGAACAUAUGUGUAAGUAACUGUGCACAUCUUGACGGUACCUAAUCAGAGAGCCACGGCUAACUACGUG
rnacentral:rRNA from 1 species